rnacentral:rRNA from 1 species
GGGCGGUGCCGCCUUCAUACCAUGCAGUCGACGGUAAGGCCCUUCGGGGUACACGAGUGGCGAACGGGUGAGUAACACGUGGGUAAUCUGCCCUGCACUUCGGGAUAAGCCUGGGAAACCGGGUCUAAUACCGGAUAUUCAGUUCCUGCCGCAUGGUGGGGGUUGGAAAGUUUUUCGGUGCAGGAUGAGCCCGCGGCCUAUCAGCUUGUUGGUGGGGUAAUGGCCUACCAAGGCGACGACGGGUAGCCGGCCUGAGAGGGUGAUCGGCCACACUGGGACUGAGACACGGCCCAGACUCCUACGGGAGGCAGCAGUGGGGAAUAUUGCACAAUGGGCGAAAGCCUGAUGCAGCGACGCCGCGUGGGGGAUGACGGUCUUCGGAUUGUAAACCCCUUUCAGUAGGGACGAAGCGCAAGUGACGGUACCUGCAGAAGAAGCACCGGCCAACUACGUGCCAGCAGCCGCGGUAAUACGUAGGGUGCGAGCGUUGUCCGGAAUUACUGGGCGUAAAGAGCUCGUAGGCGGUUUGUCGCGUCGUCCGUGAAAACUCGGAGCUUAACUCCGAGCUUGCGGGCGAUACGGGCAGACUUGAGUACUACAGGGGAGACUGGAAUUCCUGGUGUAGCGGUGAAAUGCGCAGAUAUCAGGAGGAACACCGGUGGCGAAGGCGGGUCUCUGGGUAGUAACUGACGCUGAGGAGCGAAAGCAUGGGUAGCGAACAGGAUUAGAUACCCUGGUAGUCCCAUGCCGUAAACGGUGGGCGCUAGGUGUGGGGUCCUUUCCACGGAUUCCGUGCCGUAGCUAACGCAUUAAGCGCCCCGCCUGGGAGUACGGCCGCAAGGCUAAAACUCAAAGGAAUUGACGGGGGCCCGCACAAGCGGCGGAACAUGGUGGAUUAAUUCCGAUGCAACGCGAGAACCUUACCUAAGGCUUGACAUUAUACAGGACGACGGCGAAAUGUCGUUCCCUUGUGGCUUGAUACAAGUGGUGCAUGCUGUCCGUCAGCUCGGUUCUGGAAAUGUUGUUAGUUCCAAACGAGCCAAUCCUUGUUCUCAUGUGCAGCAGUUAUGGUGGGAACUCUGAGAAACCUGCCGGUUCAACUCGAAGAGUGAAUGACUCAAUCAUAUGCCUAAUUCUAUCUCACUGUCUUAAUGCUAACAAGGUGAAUCCUUGAAGGUGAACGAAUCAUAACCGUUUCCUUACAAGCAUG